rnacentral:rRNA from 1 species
AUUGAACGCUGGCGGCAGGCCUAACACAUGCAAGUCGAGCGGAUGAAGGGAGCUUUCUCCUGGAUUCAGCGGCGGACGGGUGAGUAAUGCCUAGGAAUCUGCCUGGUAGUGGGGGAUAACGUCCGGAAACGGGCGCUAAUACCGCAUCCGUCCUGAGGGAGAAAGUGGGGGAUCAUCGGACAUCACGCUAUCAGAUGAGCCUAAGUCGGAUUAGCUAGUUGGUGGGGUAAAGGCCUACCAAGGCGACGAUCCGUAACUGGUCUGAGAGGAUGAUCAGUCACACUGGAACUGAGACACGGUCCAGACUCCUACGGGAGGCAGCAGUGGGGAAUAUUGGACAAUGGGCGAAAGCCUGAUCCAGCCAUGCCGCGUGUGUGAAGAAGGUCUUCGGAUUGUAAAGCACUUUAAGUUGGGAGGAAGGGCAGUAAGUUAAUACCUGGCUGUUUUGACGUUACCAACAGAAUAAGCACCGGCUAACUUCGUG